ACGACGUCAUGACAUGGAUUUAGCAUACCGAACGUAAAACGGCCAUGGUCCGUAUAAUGCUGCGAGCUGUGCUGUCCUGGGAAGUUGUUUAUUCGAAGCUUAAAUGCUAUCCAGUCAUUGGAAUGCACUCUAUGUGAUUUUUUGACCAGCCUGAUUGAGAAGUCUGAUAUUACUCGCCUAUGAAACACCCAUCCAAGUCUCUACUUGUAUGCUCUUGAAUGUGGAUGUACCAACUUGCCAUGAAUUGCAAAUGAUACCUGCUAGACUGAAUGUGGCACGGGCACUCAAUUACCCUAUCAGCUGGCUCCGUGCUUAUAAGUUAGAGAGUUGUAAACCACCACAGCCUGGAUAUACAUGCUUUACUCACAGGGCGAGUGAAAGUGACACCCUUUGUCUAUGAACACCAGGCGUUUACAACAACACCGCUGAUAACCAAAAUAGUUUAGCCCUGACAAAGUGCGUGUGAGACCAUGGACCUACUAGGACUGAGGUCAGUGAUGGUAGCUUGAGAUAGAGGUGAUAGAAUCAAAGCUCCAACAUUAAGUAUUAAAGUGUGAAGGGGAUUAUACAGCCAAAGCUCGAUCUCUUUCUCACUUUCACCCAUCGCUGUACUGUUGUAUCUCGACUAGAAAUGUAGAUUUAACGUAGUAAGUAAUCAGACUUCUUUACUUUUCAUUGCACUUUGCACAUGGAUAUUUUAAAAUAGCAUGCACAUUUAUACAUCUGGGUAGAUAACAUUUUAAGCCAUAUCAUCCAGAU